CAAAGCUAAUCGUCGAGUCCGUCCAGCAGGGCGGAGCGGGGGACCCGGUCCAUGGGGGUGAAAGGACGAGCUUAAUUCGUCCAAGGGUAGCUCUUGGCCCGAACCCGACAGCUAACCCCGUAGACGCAGCGAGAGUCGCG
rnacentral:sRNA from 1 species